rnacentral:rRNA from 1 species
AAGUAGAAGUCGUAACAAGGUCUCCGUUGGUGAACCAGCGGAGGGAUCAUUACAGAGUUAUCCAACUCCCAAACCCAUGUGAACUUAUCUCUUUGUUGCCUCGGCGCAAGCUACCCGGGACCUCGUGCCCCGGGCGGCCCGCCGGCGGACAAACCAAACUCCGUUAUCUUAGUUGAUUAUCUGAGUGUCUUAUUUAAUAAGUCAAAACUUUCAACAACGGAUCUCUUGGUUCUGGCAUCGAUGAAGAACGCAGCGAAAUGCGAUAAGUAAUGUGAAUUGCAGAAUUCAGUGAAUCAUCGAAUCUUUGAACGCACAUUGCGCCCAUUAGUAUUCUAGUGGGCAUGCCUGUUCGAGCGUCAUUUCAACCCCUAAGCACAGCUUAUUGUUGGGAAUCCACGCCUGUGGUUCCUCAAAGACAUUGGCGGAGUGGCAGUAGUCCUCUGAGCGUAGUAAUUCUUUAUCUCGCUUUUGUUAGGUGCUGCCCCCCCGGCCGUAAAACCCCCAAUUUUUUCUGGUUGACCUCGGAUCAGGUAGGAAUACCCGCUGAACUUAAGCAUAUCAAUAAGCGGAGG